AAUCAACGCCGGCGGCGUGCCUAACACAUGCAAGUCGUACGAGAAAGUGGAGCAAUCCAUGAGUAAAAGUGGCGACCGGGUGAGUAACACGUGACUAACCUACCUUUUAAGUGGGGGAUAACUCCGGGAAACCGGAGCUAAUACCGCAUAACAUCGCAAGAUCAGAGCAGCAAUGCGCUGGAAGGAGGGGGGUUCGCGGC
rnacentral:rRNA from 1 species